GAUCUAGUUGUUUGGUUUAGAUAUAUUGAUUAGAUCCAAGACCGUUAGAAUAUAUGAAUGCACCAUACUGAUCGUACUUCUUGCACUAUGAGUUCUUACAAUCUUCAGUACUAUAUGAUAGUUGAAAUAAUGUGUUAUUUCAUUUUGCAUAAUUAAGGUGAGGGUCUGGGCAGUUCUAGAAGUGGUAUUGCGGAUCCAAUUUCAGCAGGCAAUGUAAAAAUCGACAACUUGGGUGUGGGAUCUUCUAAGCCCGGGGAAGUGAAACCAGAUGAUGAUAUAUAUGAGCAGUAUAAGAAGCGAAUGAUGCUUGGUUACCGUUACAGACCAAACCCAAUGGGUAACCCACGAAAGGCAUACUACUGAAUCAACGUUGUAAAACCUUCCUUAGUUGGGUACACUACAAAAAUAAUAUUAAAGUUUGAUCUUGUUGUAUCAGAGCAACUGAAUAUUUUGUGUUAAAUUGAAGUUUGGUUUCAUAUUUAUGCAAAUUUGAGAUAAUACAUGAACUUUCCCACAUUUGGUCUAUA